rnacentral:rRNA from 1 species
GACGAACGCUGGCGGCGUGCUUAACACAUGCAAGUCGAACGAGUGGCGAACGGGUGAGUAAUACGUGAGUAAACUGACCUCUGUUUGGGAUAAGCCUUGGAAAAGGGGGCUAAUACCGGCUAAAGGGGGAUGGGCUCGCGGCCUAUGAGCGUGUUGGUGGGGUGAUGGCCUACCAAGGCGGUGACGGGUAGGCGGCCUGAGAGGGUGGACGGCCACAUUGGGACUGAGAUACGUCCCAGGCUCCUACGGCAGGCAGCAGUGGGUGAUAUUGCAUAAUGGGCGAUCGCCUGAUGCAGCGAUGCCGCAUGUGGAAUUAGGGCUUUCGAGUGGUAAUCCUCUGUCGCAAUCGAAGGGGUAGGUGGAGAAAAAGCACCGUCUAACUACGUGCCAGCAGCCGCGGUAAUUC